rnacentral:tRNA from 1 species
GCGGAUGUGCUGGAAUUGGUAGACUGGCCAGCUUGAGGUGCUGGUGUCCACUGGACGUGCGGGUUCAAGUCCCGCCAUCCGCACCA